GAGUUUGAUCCUGGCUCAGGACGAACGCUGGCGGCGUGCUUAACACAUGCAAGUCGAACGAGAAUCUACUGAAGGAGGAUUCGUCCAACGGAAGUAGAGGAAAGUGGCGGACGGGUGAGUAACGCGUGAGGAACCUGCCUUGAAGAGGGGGACAACAGUUGGAAACGACUGCUAAUACCGCAUAAGCCCACGGGUCGGCAUCGACCAGAGGGAAAAGGAGCAAUCCGCUUUGAGAUGGCCUCGCGUCCGAUUAGCUAGUUGGUGAGGUAACGGCCCACCAAGGCGACGAUCGGUAGCCGGACUGAGAGGUUGAACGGCCACAUUGGGACUGAGACACGGCCCAGACUCCUACGGGAGGCAGCAGUGGGGAAUAUUGCACAAUGGGGGAAACCCUGAUGCAGCGACGCCGCGUGGAGGAAGAAGGUCUUCGGAUUGUAAACUCCUGUUGUUGGGGAAGAUAAUGACGGUACCCAACAAGGAAGUGACGGCUAACUACGUGCCAGCAGCCGCGGUAAUUC
rnacentral:rRNA from 1 species